CUUUUCUUUUUUUUUUUUCCUUUGCUCAUAUGUUGACAUGCAUUAUCUUUUUAGAUAAUAUUUUCAUUGUCAAAUAUGAUGGGUUGCAUUUAAUGUGAGAGGAAAUAGUUCUAUACUUAUAGUAAUUAUUCAUUCACUAAUUCAAAUGCAAGCCUCAGUCAAUUUUAUAGAAACUUCUAACAAGUUAUCACCCUUUUUUUCCUUUCACAUUGUAGUUGUAUAAUUUCCAUAAACUUAUAGACCUUUUACACAGCUGAUUCAGUUUCAUUCAAACACGAACCAUAUAGCCCUUGGAUUUAUGGUGCGACCAAAAUUUUGGACAAUUUCUACUGCAUUGUCAAAAGCUUCAAUAUUUUUCCCCAAAUCAUAGUUUGUGAUUAGUUAGACCUGCAAUGGAAAACUUACACUAGGAUUUAUGUUAUGAUCAUUUAACCUGUUUUACAAAUUUUUGCAGCAACAUUUACCAAAUUCUAUUUAGCAAAUAACUUUUCAUAUCAGACUCAAAUUCAAGCAAACAGAUUCUAAAAAUGGAUAGCAAUCAAAAUUAUGAAGCAAAAAACAUCGCAACACAAAAUAAAUAAAUAAAUA
rnacentral:misc_RNA from 1 species